rnacentral:rRNA from 1 species
UACGAAGGGGGCGAGCGUUGUUCGGAUUUACUGGGCGUAAAGGGCGCGUAGGCGGCCAGCUUUGUCAGGCGUGAAAGCCCUGGGCUCAACCUGGGAAUUGCGCUUGGGACGGGUUGGCUUGAGAUCGGGAGAGGAGAGUGGAAUUCCCAGUGUAGAGGUGGAAUUCGUAGCUAUUGGGAAGAACACCGGUGGCGAAGGCGGCCUCUCUCGGACCGACACUGACGCAUGAGGCGG